rnacentral:tRNA from 1 species
GCCGAUGUAGCUCAGUUGGCAGAGCAACGCUUUCGUAAAGCGUGGGUCGUCGGUUCGAAUCCGACCAUCGGCU